AUUGAACGCUGGCGGCAGGCCUAACACAUGCAAGUCGAGCGGAUGAAGGGAGCUUGCUCCUGGAUUCAGCGGCGGACGGGUGAGUAAUGCCUAGGAAUCUGCCUGUUAGUGGGGGAUAACGUCCGGAAACGGGCGCUAAUACCGCAUACGUCCUGAGGGAGAAAGUGGGGGAUCUUCGGACCUCACGCUAUCAGAUGAGCCUAGGUCGGAUUAGCUAGUUGGUGGGGUAAAGGCCUACCAAGGCGACGAUCCGUAACUGGUCUGAGAGGAUGAUCAGUCACACUGGAACUGAGACACGGUCCAGACUCCUACGGGAGGCAGCAGUGGGGAAUAUUGAACAAUGGGCGAAAGCCUGAUCCAGCCAUGCCGCGUGUGUGAAGAAGGUCUUCGGAUUGUAAAGCACUUUAAGUUGGGAGGAAGGGCAGUAAGUUAAUACCUUGCUGUUUUGACGUUACCAACAGAAUAAGCACCGGCUAACUUCGUG
rnacentral:rRNA from 1 species